rnacentral:rRNA from 1 species
AACGAACGCUGGCGGCAUGCCUAACACAUGCAAGUCGAACGAGAUAUUCGGGUUUAGUGGCGCACGGAUGCGUAACCCGUGGGAACAUGCCCUUAAGUUCGGAAUAACUAUCCGAAAGGGGUCCUAAUACCGGCUAAUGUAUUCGGACCAAGGAUUUAUCGACUUUGGAUGGGCCUGCGAUGAAUUAGCUGGGUGGCAGGGUAAAAGCCUACCAAGAGGACGAUCUAUAGCUGGUCUGAGAGGAUGAUCAGCAACACUGGGACUGAGACACGGCCAAGACACCGACGGAUGGCGGCAGUGUGGAAUAUUGGACAAUGUGCGAAAGCCGAAUCCGUCAGUGCCGCGAGAGUGAUGAAGGCCUUAGGGUUGUAAAGCUCUUUUCCCCGGGAUGAUAAUAACAUUACCGGGAGAAUAAGCUCCGGCUAACUCCUU